AUACGGAGGGUGCGAGCGUUAAUCGGAAUUACUGGGCGUAAAGCGUACGUAGGCGGUUGGUUAAGUUAGAUGUGAAAGCUCCGGGCUUAACCUGGGAACUGCAUUUAAAACUGGCAAACUAGAGUUGAGUAGAGGGGAGUGGAAUUUCAGGUGUAGCGGUGAAAUGCGUAGAGAUCUGAAGGAACACCAGUGGCGAAGGCGACUCCCUGGACUCGAACUGACGCUGAGGUACGAAAGCGUGGGUAGCAAACGGGAUUAGAUACCCCAGUAGUCC
rnacentral:rRNA from 1 species